ensembl:snRNA U6 U6 spliceosomal RNA
GUGCUCGCUUUGGCAGCACAUACACUAAAAUUGGAACGAUACAGAGAUUAGCAUGGCCCCUGCACAAGGAUGACAUGCCAAUUCACAAAACGGUCCAUAUUUUU